GUUUGGAUAGCUCAGUUGGUAGAGCAAAAGACUGAAAAUCUUUGUGUCGACGGUUCAAGUCCGUCUCCAGACA
rnacentral:tRNA from 1 species